rnacentral:lncRNA from 1 species
GAGAAUAUUAUUCAAGAGAUAUCAAAGGAAUGUCCUGAAUUGUUAAAAACAUUAACAUGUGCUUUAGGCAACAAGAUAAAGUUUGAGUCUAAGAUUGCCACCAUUUCAACAAUCUAUGGCAUGAUACUACAUAGCAGAAACAACCAGGUGUCGGGGAUACAGAGGCUGUAUACAACAAUGGCAGUGAGGUACCAUGCAGAUAAUAAGUAUGACAGAAACUCUGUUUUCCCUUGCUUAUAUGCUUUCAGCUUUGACUACUGACUCGACUGAACAAGAUCCAUCUUACUUUAACAGAGGAUUCCAAACGAAACAUCAUUAAAAGCUUUGGUAAAGAAAGUGAGAGUCAUCUUAUUCAGGAGUUGGCACAAGGUCAUGAUGGAAAACUAAACGGUGACAACUUGGAUAUCAGAGUGCAAACAAAUGAUAUAAGGAUGACUAACCAUGAUAAAGAUUAUCAUUUCUUUGCCAGUGACUUUACUUUAGAUCGUGUAAAUCUGAAAGAACUCAACUCCGAUAUUCCUCACAUUGACGAUGUGCCCGUCCAAAGUUUUAUUCCUAGUGACAAGGAAACAGACCUCUUCAAGGUAACUCUCAAACUACUACUGGCAAAGGAAAUGAUGACUCUGCCAGGGUUUCAUUGGAUGAAGAGCAUUGUUC